AAAACAAAAAAGGCAGCAAGCAUUACAGAAGGUGAAUUUUGCUGUUCAAACACGCCCUGCCCAAGGCCUUGUUUGUCCCGUGUGUUUGGGCCAUGGAUGGGUACUCGGCAAGCCCAAGCUUUUGGCAUUUCUAUUUGAGAAUGUGGGGUGAGUUUAUUGGGUUAAAACCGGCUUUGUUUGGGUUUGCACCGCCCUUGUUCCCCGGGAGCCCCACAUGGGGCGCCAACAUGGCCUGGAAGAGGGGCAUGUCAAGUGCCCCCCACCUCGCAUUGUUGUUGCGCAGUGAACUGGAGUCUUGGAGGGGAAGGGGGAAAAAAGGAAUUCCUCACUUCCAUCCUGACUGGGAUUCUCCUUUUCUUCAGCUGCUCCAAGCUGCAGUAAUCCGUAUUCUCGGGCUCUCUGUCAUUGUAGUCUUAUCUGCGCCUGCUUCUUCCAAUGGCGCUUCUUGGGAGCUCUUUCACAGAAAAGGGGUGGGGGAGGCGGCUCCAUAAUGGCCGGCGUGGCCCCUUUCUUCUCUCUCUCCCUCUCUCUUUCUCUCACUCUUUUCUUAAGCUUUCCGAGGGAGCCGGGCUAUUUAAUCUUCCUGAGCUGUUCAAGAUGUCACUUACCUCUGAUGGUGGGGACAAAGGAAAUACUUCCACAGUGAAUGCCGGGCAGAGCUGAAUGCCUCAGGCUGCUUUGAAGAGGGUUCUUGGAAGUCUGUUUCAGAGAGUGGCCUGAGCGCCGAUCUUUUUGUGCCGUGGCCUGCGAGCCUCCCAGCCAGCUUCACCAGAGGCAUUUAGCAUAAAGGACAGUGAAGGGCUUUGUCGUCAGCACCCAGUCCAAAUCCCAGCUCAGGUUUGGGCAAAUCAACCACUUAAUUGUCCUGAGCCUCAGUUUCCCCCUCUGUGAAGAUGAGGGAAUGGUGGCAUCCAAUUCCAUCUCUGUAAAGUACAACUGUGAACAGUUCCCAUGUGAGCUUCUUGGAAGGUACGCACGCCCUCUAGUUCUCUCCCUGGAAGUAUACCGUGUAAUGAAGUGAUUGAUUAUGUAAGUUCCUGGCAACGAGUGGGCUAUCCUGUGGAAUUUUGGUAAGGAGUCCGAAGUUUCAUUAAUGGAUGGAUGAGUGUUGGAGUCAAAGGCUCACAACCUUUGUCACCUUUGACCUCUCUCCCACAUCGAAUGUGUCACUGAGCCUUGUUGGGUCUGCAUGGGACAAGCCCGUGUACCACUGCACCAGUCCAAUCAGGCCAGAGUCUCAGGAGCUCUCUUCAGUGAACAGAUGAGAAGGUAGCCCCCAACUCCAGGAUAGCUGCUUCCCAUUCCCUACAGGGUGAAAGGCGGAUCUUUACCUCAGUGUGAAGGGCUUUGAAGAGCUGCUCAUUUCUCCAGCCUCUCACCUCCCCUUCCACAAACCCUGCACUUCAGCCAGGAGGCCCCCGUGCCCACAAUGUCCGAACCUUUGUGCAUUUUCUACAGCAUAGAACAAGGUCUUUCCUUCCCACCGGUGGGCACAUAAACAUUACCAUCUUUCCAUGCCCAGUUCGUCCUUGUGCCACAUCCUUUCCUUCUGUCAUGUGAUUCCUCUCAACAAACAGCUUCCUCAUUGCUCCCUGAGGAAGAGACUUAAGUCUCUGAGGUGUAAGUGCCACUGUACCUCCCCUUGAAGUGAACAUCGUACAUUGGGUGUCUGCAUUCCUCUUCUUGCUUACAGACGCCCCCAUCCAACUCUCUGAAGCAGUCUGAGGUGCCUGCUCAGACCUACACAUCCUGAUGCACUAGCUGUGAAGACAAAUUCAAACUCUGUAAGAUACUGAACUGCAGAAUAAAACACUUCCUAGCUACUGUGUACUUCGGAAUUGCAUGUCACGCCCUUUUGCAAGAAGCAGGCCCUGUUCCCAUUCUUCAGGUGUCAAAACAGAGCCAGACAGAUGAGCCCAAGCCAUGACAAGAGAAUCUAAUGUAUUUCCCACCUUCAAAACAAUUCCAUACCUAAAAUCAAAUAAGGAGACUUUGCUGUAACUGAAAUAAUUUUUAUUGCUAGGGGACAAUACCCGUCUAGGUAAAUGCCCCCAGUCUGAGGACCGCCCCAAUCCUGCACUAACCUGGGUGGCGGGCAGCUUCCACUCUGUAUAUGAAAUACACAUCACACACCUUCUCCGCGGCCCUGCGUGCAGCCAGGGCCAGCAGACCCUUCCCGAGCCUUGUACAACUUUUCAUUUCCCAUAUCAAUCAUGAGAACAAGUUGAAGUUCAGAUAAAGGCAGCUUGGUUUCCCCUAAUUGUUCAGGAUUUAGACUGACUGUUUGCACUGCAGACUGCGGCCACUGGGUUCCCGGCGGGGGGCUGUGGCCAGCUCUUUCUCUAACAAACCCGUGUUCAUGCGUCCAUUCAGAUCCAUCACCCUGAGAUAAACUGUGAAUAUUGCCCUUUGUCGCCGCUGCAUUCUUGCCGGCAGUGUGGGGGCACUAUUUACGGAUUUAAAGGGUCAUUUGCACAAGUCUUUUGUCAGCAGCCUGGGCCGCAGAAUGGUGAAGCGAGGGCUACCUCUCCUUUCUGGGUUACUGCCCCAGCUCUCUCUGAGCAGAAUGGACACGCCUGCCCUGGACUUAGCAUGAAGAAUGUCAUUUCGAAAAUUACAUUUUUUAAAUGACCUGUCUGCUUCCAUGGCCAGGGGAGGGUCACCAGUUCACACAGGGCAGGAUUUAGGUGUUGCCCCUACCUCUUCUAUCAGGAGCCUUUGGAAAACGCACAGAGUUAAAUGUGGCAAACCACAUAGAAGGGCAUCGUAACUAUGCCCUGGAGUGAGUACUUCGUGCUGUGGGCUCUCUGCUCCGCCCUUCUGCGGCUUCUUGCUUUUAGAUUAAUCUCGCUAGUCUUAUUUUGCAGAGAAUGAAACUGAGACUGUGAGAGUUGGGGGUCACACAACAAGAAAGAUGCAGAGUGGAACUUCCAAUCUAGGGCUUUCUGAUUCCAAUCUGGGAGCUUGCACCAUCCCCUGCUAUUUCUUAAGUUUUCCAUCGGAGGAUCCAGGGCUUCUAAAUAAAGCAGUAGGAUUUGAACCAGAAACAAUGCAACCAGGAGAUGCGUGUGGCCAGCUUGCAGAGAACAUAAGCGUGCUAUUGUCUCUGUGACUCCCGCAGCUCUGGGACCUCCCUCAGAAGCCCCCUCCUCCUCUGGGAUCUCACUCCGUUUUCACUGCCCGGGAGAGCUGUGGAAAGGCAUCCUGUCCCCUUUGUGGUGAGUCCUAAUUACAAGCUCCGUCUGCCUCCCCCCUAGAGUGUAGGCCCCCUGAGGACGGGCUUGAGCUUCCCUCUCUGGGUUUCCAGUGGCGAGCUUCAACCCCAGAUCACAUACACAUCAUGAACGCACGUUGGAGAUGAAUGAGUGAAUGGCUUUUGUGCAAUAUGGGGGCUACAUUUCCUGGAACUUUCACAGGGAAAAAUAGUAUUGGGCAUGGGUCGUCACAGAUCAUACAGCUCUGCUGGAGAAGAUGGGAGCAAAGAAAGAGGUCCAGACCAUUCUUUGAGUCUCUGGGCUUAUUUGUAAAAGGUGGAAGGAG
rnacentral:lncRNA from 1 species